AUGGAAGGAAAAGUUAAAUUCUACUUAUGGUUGUUGCUGCAAAACAGAAAUUGGACGGCGGAUCGUCUGCAAGCGAGGGGAUUGCCGCACAAUGACCUAUGUUGCUUUUGUGAUCAAGAAAAGGAGAUGGCCGAACACAUCACCCUGGCCUGCUGCUUUGUGAAAGAGGUUUGGCUCCAGUUCCAGCAAGCUGAUGACAGGAUGGGCAUGCUGGCCUCCUCGGCAACAUCCAUUGGAGAGUGGUGGUCUCGGCUAUGCACAUGCGAUGGAACCAAGGACAGAAACAGAGAUGCAAUCACACUUGCUGCUUACAUAGUGUGGAACCUGUGGAAAGAAAGAAACUGUAGGGUAUUUGAGCAGAAGGAGAUGACGCUGACUGCACUUGCUGGACUGAUAAGAGAAGAUGUCAAGAUUUUCUACGAGGCCAACAAAGAGGCGGGCGCUGGGGACACAUAA
rnacentral:rRNA from 1 species